CUGAUUCUAGCGGGUGCGCUCUCUUUGUGAGGAAACAAAGGCAAUUAAUCACACAGGCUGCCAAGUCUUGCCUUUGGCUGGCUGUGGAAUUGGCUCCCAGGACCUCACCGGGGGCUGGGAGCCCCAGUGAGUGACUCCAUGGCGUGCGUGUGCUUCAGGAGCGCUCCAGUAAUUGCCAGCCUCUGGGCGUCGUCUUGUUCCUACAGAACAGGUCCCCAAGUAUCUUGAAACUAGGCCUUUGUUCAUUUUAAACAGAGGCCCUCACUCCCGCCUCUCUCCGCUUGGCCCUCUGGAUCUCAGGAUAGAGCUGGGGCAGGAGGAGGACCCCAUUUCUCAGAUGUGAUGUUCAGGAGCCUGCACAAUGUCAAAAUUGCUGCAAAAUGGAACCAGAAGUUCAAUGUUCUCCUUUUGCAGCCCUCUGAAACAAUAAACAGAAUGGGAGGAAAAGACAGGAACGGAGUGGAAAAAUCUUCAAAUGGUUGUGUCAGAACAAGAAGGGCAUUCUCUGCCAUGAAAAAUUUGUUGGUGGGUUUUAAAGAUGCUAUUUCUAAAAAUUUAUGGAUGAG
rnacentral:lncRNA from 1 species